rnacentral:tRNA from 1 species
GGAGCCGUGGCAGAGUGGUCGAUCGCGCACGCUUGGAAAGCGUGUAUAGGGCAACCUAUCGAGGGUUCGAAUCCCUCCGCUCCGCCA